rnacentral:sRNA from 1 species
CAAGAAGCAGAAACACAUUCACAAAUGGUCAAGGGGAGUUGUUUCUAACCUUGUGUCAAAAAGGCCCGGACCAAUUCACUUGCAGUAGUCAGAGUCCCGGUCUCAAAGCCCAGACUGAUGUUUCUGCCUACCUGCAUGCUUGGCAUGAGAUCAAGAAGCAAAGGGUCCUAGCUGAGGCUCACCCCUAGAGUUUUGCAGUGGCCCUUCCUGGACAGUUUGUCUUUCUCUCCACGUAGUAACCCAGAAGGUGGUGCGGGGAGCGAGCUGAUUUUCGGAGGCUACGACCACUCCCAUUUCUCUGGGAGCCUGAAUUGGGUCCCAGUCACCAAGCAAGCUUACUGGCAGAUUGCACUGGAUAAUAUGCUGUGGAGUGUGCCAACCUUAACGUCAUGCCGGAUGUCACCUUCACCAUUAACGGAGUCCCCUAUACCCUCA